rfam:Oceanibacterium hippocampi strain CECT 7691 genome assembly, contig: 0010
GUAUCCUUUCCGGGGCCACAGCGCCCCGGCCUCAUUGAAGC